CGGAAGAGGCUGCUGGUUAGCAGAUCAUUGUUAGGGGCAGAGUCCAUCUUGUGCUGACGAAGUCCUGGGGAAACCUUGUUGGCCAACAUCAUUGCCAACCUCUCCGUUGAAUCUUCAGUCCCAGAGUAGAUGCAGUGGAAUGAAGCCAUAUGGGAGGAUUUUGUUCUAAUGUCAACAUGGAAGAUGAGCUGAAGCACAACAGCAGGAUAGAAGACAUCUAGAAGAACAAGUGGCUAAGAGGUGAUAAAACGAAGGUGCAAAAAUUCAAUUCCAGUGACCUAAUCAAUGAUUAUCAGAGUGGAUAUCUGAGAAGAAUGGAUACACAUGAAGGAGAGACUGACAGCAGCCUGGUGUUCUGCAUUGCCAGCUCGUUAGAAGACAUCACUGGGAAAUUCAAAACAACUCGACUCCAGCAUUAUUACCUUUUUCCAGUUCCCUCAGCACGGAACACCAGAGCCGGAGCAUGCUGAUUGGAUUCCAUUCCUCAGACAGCAGAAGUGUUUAUUAAGCCCACUCUGAGAUAACUGCAGGGCUGAAAAAAAUCCACUCCUUUUUGGGAUGGGAGUGGAAGAAAGGUUUGCAGACAGCAGAUGCGUUUUUUCAAUCUAAUAGAUACCCUACCUGUUCCAAAAAAGUACAAGGCUGUUCUCAGUCUGAUAUGCUUCAGUUUAAACCCAAGACAGAUAGCUCCAAUACAUUAAAUUUUUUAGGAAGAGGGAAAUUAAGGGUAAAGAAAUCCUUAUAGGCCCAAAAUUCUUAAAGCUAAGGACAAUGAGGCAGAAAGACCAUAAGUUCAAGCCCGACCUGAGCUACGCAGCAACACCCUGUCUCAAAAAACUUAAAAAAUAACCCUUAACU